rnacentral:lncRNA from 1 species
CUGACCGCUCAAACUGGUUUUUUGCUAUUUAAUAUUGUCACUUGCGAAUUUGUGAACUUCUUUUCGCUGCAACUCUCAAAAUUUGGCGAACGAUUAUUGGAUUCAAUAAAAAGAACCGAUCGGAAGCAAUUCGAUGGUAGAGUUAUUGGAGAAAACUUCUGGUGUAGCCAUAGGAAAGACGCCGUUUGGGUCCACAAAAAAAAUACGAUGGGGUUGUGGGAAGGUAUUGCAGCUGAGUAAAAUAACAUUGGCUCCAGUGGAAGUGAAUGGAAUAAGGUUUGGUUGGACUGCAAACAAAAAUUAAAAAAAAAAAAUGUUGAUAAUCCGAUGGAGAAUAUAGCCACAGGCGGAGGGCCUUACACUCAACGAAGCUUUAGAGCAUGUCGUGGACGAGUAGCUCUGCUUUCAGCAGGCGGUCAAUCCAAGUGGAACUACUGCAGCUAAAAAUUCGGAGAACCUAUAACCAGGGUGGAAGAGGGGGAAAUUUUGCGAAUGAAGGCUUUGGAAAAGCAAUCGCCAGAAAGACUUGCCAUACUUUCCAGAAAAAGAAUUCAGGGGCAAUAAAUGAAAUUGCAGGUUAUACUUGGAAAACAUAUGGUUGAAAAAAGAAAAAUUGGUCUGGUAUUGGUAAUACCGUUGUUGACAAUCAAAUCGAAAAUAUUUGCCUUUUAAGCAAUUAUGGCGAUUUGGCCAUUUUUAAUUUAAAAAUUGCGAUAUCGUAAUGAAACUUGGUACACGUGAUCCUUGGAAAAAAUGGGGAUGGGUUAGUAGAAGGGCGUAGUCGGACCACCUCCACGCCAAAAAACGCUUUUAAACGAAAAUUUAAAUGUGUCAUUACUAAGCCACUUGUGUAUCUACUAUUUUUUUUAAAUCCGCUCUCUAACUGGUUAAUUGUACAUGUCCUCAACAAAACUUGCGGAGAAGAAGUCUUUCUAGCAUUCCUUUAUACGUAUACUACACUGUGAAAAUGGAUGAAAUCCGAUGAUAACCACGUCCACCCCCCACAUAAUAGAUAUGUUGAAAAUUACUAAAUUUGCGAUAACUCACAUAAUAAAUGAGCCACAGGCAGCCUUUAUGGGAGUUGGGUUGAGUUAUAAUUUUGUACACACUCUCCAACACAUACUUUCUCGUUCUUGCGUGGGGUCAUUAAAAAUG